UAGAGUUUGAUCAUGGCUCAGAACGAACGCUGGCGGCAGGCCUAACACAUGCAAGUCGAGCGAGAUCUUCGGAUCUAGCGGCGGACGGGUGAGUAACGCGUGGGAAUAUGCCCUUCUCUACGGAAUAGCCUCGGGAAACUGGGAGUAAUACCGUAUACGCCCUUUGGGGGAAAGAUUUAUCGGAGAAGGAUUAGCCCGCGUUGGAUUAGGUAGUUGGUGGGGUAAUGGCCUACCAAGCCGACGAUCCAUAGCUGGUUUGAGAGGAUGAUCAGCCACACUGGGACUGAGACACGGCCCAGACUCCUACGGGGCGCAGCA
rnacentral:rRNA from 1 species